rnacentral:lncRNA from 10 species
GUUUUGUAGAAGCAAAGCUCCACCUCAAGAAGCCAGAGCUCAGGAGGCAGAGAAGGCCAGGAGAACAUAACUGCACUUCAACCCUAAAUAAACAUCAGCCAAAAUUGGGGGGAGGAUUUUGGACUUGAAGGUAUGAGGAAAUUUGGAAAGGGAGAAGCUUGGAUAUUCCAAGAAAUGAAGCUUAAACCUCAAGAAAACAUUUUGAUAACUUUAAAAUUUCAAGUAUAGGACAACAAGCAUUGGAGGUGACUCUAGCAGUAGCAGGAAUCCAAAAGUACUGAAAGGACACAGGCCCUGGCUUUCCCCUGUGGCAGCAGCAUGCCCCAAAGGAGGCAUGUUGGAUGAAAGAGUGAUCGGAGUGGAAGCUCUGGAGAGAAGUUCAGAGAAGAAUGGACUGGAAGAUGCACUGGGGCGCUGCUGGACAUCUCAGUAAAGAACUGGCCCAGCUACUAAGAUUGCUUGCCCUCAACUAUCUCCUCCCUCUUCCAACUGGUCUUAAUCCAUUGUACGUUACUGUAACAGAAUACCAUAGACCAGGUCAUUUUUAAAGAACAAUGAUUUAUCUCUUACAG